rnacentral:lncRNA from 1 species
UUUUGAAGUUAGGUUUUAAGUUUUACUUUUGGAGAAUAACACAUUGAAACUUCAAAUAUAUAGUUUUGGAAACUUCAAAAUAGAGUUCUUUUUUGGAGAUGCUCUUAGAGAAAUAUGUAUACUGGUUACACGACUACUAGUUAAUGGGUUUCAUAACACAAAUUAGAACUCACAAAAUGUACUAUAUAGCUGUAAUCAAUGGAUAUCCAUAAAAUGUUUCCUUUCAGUUUUUCUUUUUUUUGCCAAGUAUAUUUAUUGCGAAAGAAGAACCGAACAUCAUAUAUACGCCUAUUGUAAAAAAAUGCGUAAGUUUUAAAUAAAAAGUUAAAAACUCACAAAAUGUAGUAAAUAGUUUGAUCAGGCCAUUUGGAAAGAUAAUCAUCAAAAUAAUCUAUAUAUUAUAGCCAACAGUUAAAUAACGUGAAAAUUUGAAUUUAAUAUCACUCAUUACAUAAAUUUGAAGCGUAUUUUGUGUUUGUUCAUAGGAUAUGACCUUGUUGAUAGGUGGUGCGAAGACCAGCUGCUUGCUCUUUGUCGAAUUCGGAUAACAAUACUCGUGAACAAGUCUUUUUUCCGACGGUCGAAGUGUUCCGGCAGUCUCAAA